UCUGGUUUAUUUUUCCUCCUAAAGAAGCUAAAUAUUUUUGUCCCUAUUUUACACACAAGGUGAAAGAACAUCUCAAAGGCAGGGACUUGUGUCUCCCUCACUUUCUUUCCCAGCACCCAGCACCCAGCAUAAGCCUCCAUCCAGUUGACCGUAGCAGUAAACAUGGGCACCUGCUGGCUGUGUGCUGGCCACACCCUGAACCCUUGACAUGGGCUGGCUUAUACCAUGCUCAAUGCCCACGGCAAAUACUGUGUCAGACCCAUUUCACAGAUAAAGAAUCUGAAGCCCAGAGGGGCUGUGACUUGUCCAAGGUAAAUGCCUAGAAUAUGCGAAUACCAGGAAUCACCCCUGGCACUGCUGGGUUCCUAGCUCAAGUGUGCAGCCGCUGGCUAUCCUGCCUCUCAGCCCACAGUAGUUGAAGCGAGUGGCCCUGCUACUUCCCGGCUGAGGGGUCUGCAGUAAGUCCCCUAGACCUGCCAAGCCCCAGUGUCCUCAUCUGUAAAAUGGGCUUCCCCCCUCCCCACCAGGAGCUGCCUUGUGUUGCUGUGAGAAAGAUGUGACCUGAUUCCAGAGACUCGGCUUCCAGUUGUGUGGACUGCCGGCUUUGUGGGGACAGGGAGGGCGGGGACCAUGGGGCCAUCUGCAGCCCCUGGUGCCUGGCUACGAGUGUCUGAUGAGGGACCUGACCCUAGGACUUGGGGCCCUCAGGGCACGGUGACUCACCCUGGCUCCUUCCUUCCUCUGUGGCCCUGUGUCGCUGACUGAGGAGCCCCCAGCUCAGCAGCCUGCGUGAGCGAGCCCCGGGUACUCUCGGACCAGCCCAGACUCACAGCCAGGACGUGAGGCCACGAUGACCACCGGGCACAUCCCUCUGCUCACCACAGCCUCAGCCCUGAUGGCUCCCAGCCCUCUGGAAGAGCCAGCCCAGCUGGAUCAGGAACACCAGUCCGGAGGCCAAAUUGGACCCAGAAGAAGGGGUGGAUCCUGGAAGCUGGAGCAGAGGCGGCAUCGCCAAUCAGGAACCCAUGGGGGAGGGUCUCCAGGACCACCCAAGAGGCCCAACCUCAGCUCACAGCCGUGUCUAUCCAAGGAGACCUGGCGCCUCACCUCCCCUGCCAAAAUAAAACCUUCCUUGCUUCCCCGGGCAGGCCCAGCCCUGGAGGGGCAAGAGCAACACCCAGCAAGAGGGAGGGGACAGAGGAGAAACUGGAUGCACCCCUCCUCCCCUGACUCCUGGACUACACGGAGCUGAGCUGAGCUGAGCUGAGCUGAGCUGGCGGAGGAGGGAGCUCCAAAUUCUAACAGUCUCAAAUUUAAUAUAAGACUUGCCUGGACUUUGCAUUACCCAAAGUGCCUGGAAAAUGACGUGAAAUAGCUGCAGUUCCUUGCAAGGGGGGAGAGUGAAUCUGCCAGGCAGGAGUGAAGUAGGG
rnacentral:lncRNA from 1 species